rnacentral:tRNA from 1 species
GCCUGGCUGGCUCAGUCACUAGAGUGUGUGACUCUUGAUCUUAGGGUUGUGGGUUCGAGCCCCAUGUUGUGUG